GUGUCUGUUUCCUGUGGGA
rnacentral:miRNA from 1 species